GAUGAACGCUGGCGGCGUGCCUAAUACAUGCAAGUCGAGCGAACGGACGAGAAGCUUGCUUCUCUGAUGUUAGCGGCGGACGGGUGAGUAACACGUGGAUAACCUACCUAUAAGACUGGGAUAACUUCGGGAAACCGUAGCUAAUACCGGAUAAUAUUUUGAACCGCAUGGUUCAAAAGUGAAAGACGGUCUUGCUGUCACUUAUAGAUGGAUCCGCGCUGCAUUAGCUAGUUGGUAAGGUAACGGCUUACCAAGGCAACGAUGCAUAGCCGACCUGAGAGGGUGAUCGGCCACACUGGAACUGAGACACGGUCCAGACUCCUACGGGAGGCAGCAGUAGGGAAUCUUCCGCAAUGGGCGAAAGCCUGACGGAGCAACGCCGCGAGAGUGAUGAAGGUCUUCGGAUCGUAAAACUCUGUUAUUAGGGAAGAACAUAUGUGUAAGUAACUGUGCACAUCUUGACGGUACCUAAUCAGAAAGCCACGGCUAACUACGUG
rnacentral:rRNA from 1 species